rnacentral:rRNA from 3 species
GCAUAUCAAUAAGCGGAGGAAAAGAAACCAACAGGGAUUGCCCUAGUAACGGCGAGUGAAGCGGCAACAGCUCAAAUUUGAAAUCUGGCCUCGGCCCGAGUUGUAAUUUGCAGAGGAAGCUUUAGGCGCGGCACCUUCUGAGUCCCCUGGAACGGGGCGCCAUAGAGGGUGAGAGCCCCGUAUAGUUGGAUGCCUAGCCUGUGUAAAGCUCCUUCGACGAGUCGAGUAGUUUGGGAAUGCUGCUCAAAAUGGGAGGUAAAUUUCUUCUAAAGCUAAAUACCGGCCAGAGACCGAUAGCGCACAAGUAGAGUGAUCGAAAGAUGAAAAGCACUUUGAAAAGAGGGUUAAAUAGCACGUGAAAUUGUUGAAAGGGAAGCGCUUGUGACCAGACUUGCGCCGGGCUGAUCAUCCGGUGUUCUCACCGGUGCACUCUGCCCGGCUCAGGCCAGCAUCGGUUCUCGCGGGGGGAUAAAGGCCCAGGGAACGUAGCUCCUCCGGGAGUGUUAUAGCCCUGGGUGUAAUGCCCUCGCGGGGACCGAGGUUCGCGCAUCUGCAAGGAUG